rnacentral:rRNA from 1 species
AGAGUUUGAUCAUGGCUCAGGACGAACGCUGGCGGCGUGCUUAACACAUGCAAGUCGAACGGUAAGGCCCUUCGGGGUACACGAGUGGCGAACGGGUGAGUAACACGUGGGUAAUCUGCCCUGCACAUCGGGAUAAGCCUGGGAAACUGGGUCUAAUACCGAAUAGGACCACAGGACACAUGUCCUGUGGUGGAAAGCUUUUGCGGUGUGGGAUGGGCCCGCGGCCUAUCAGCUUGUUGGUGGGGUGAUGGCCUACCAAGGCGACGACGGGUAGCCGGCCUGAGAGGGUGUCCGGCCACACUGGGACCGAGAUACGGCCCAGACUCCUACGGGAGGCAGCAGUGGGGAAUAUUGCACAAUGGGCGAAAGCCUGAUGCAGCGACGCCGCGUGGGGGAUGACGGCCUUCGGGUUGUAAACCUCUUUCACCAUCGACGAAGGUCCGGGUUUUCUCGGGCUGACGGUAGGUGGAGAAGAAGCACCGGCCAACUACGUGCCAGCAGCCGCGGUAAUACGUAGGGUGCGAGCGUUGUCCGGAAUUACUGGGCGUAAAGAGCUCGUAGGUGGUUUGUCGCGUUGUUCGUGAAAUCUCACGGCUUAACUGUGAGCGUGCGGGCGAUACGGGCAGACUUGAGUACUGCAGGGGAGACUGGAAUUCCUGGUGUAGCGGUGGAAUGCGCAGAUAUCAGGAGGAACACCGGUGGCGAAGGCGGGUCUCUGGGCAGUAACUGACGCUGAGGAGCGAAAGCGUGGGGAGCGAACAGGAUUAGAUACCCUGGUAGUCCAA